GGAUUCUGGACAGGUUGCUCUUCCUUUGCAGGCCUCCAAGAGCGCUGGGAACAACAGACGCGCAGACCUGCGGACAGACAGGAGACACGGUAAACACCGAUGACUCCCAGAUCUACAUCUCCAGGCUAUUCCCUUCUCCGUGUCUCAUAUCAGCUUUGCCAACUGUGUAUUGGACAUCACCGCCUGAGUAUCCCUGAGGGACACGAUUAUCCUGUUUGGAGUGUGUUGAACGUCUUGGAUACAUAGAUUAGUGUCUUUCCUCAAGUUUGAGUAAUUUGUAGUCAUUUUUCCUUUGAAAAUUCUUUCUUCCCUAUUCUAUUUCUCUUCUUGUUGAACCCCCAUCAUGCGUAGGUGUGCUCUGUUCAUUUUUCACAUCACUUUUAUUUUUCUGCUCCUUGGACUGAAUAAUCUCAAUUGACCUAUUUUAAGUUCACUGAUUCUUUUGCCUGCUCAAACCUACUGUUGUACCCCUCUAGUGACUUUUAUUGUACUUUUCAAAUACAGAAUUUCUAUUUAUGUUAUAAUUUCUAUGUCUCUUUGUAUUUUUAUGUCUUUACUGAUAUUGUGUAUUUGCUGAGACAUUUUUCUCUUUUUCUUUAGUCCUUUGUUUAUGAUUUCCUUUAGUUCUUCGAGCAUAUAUAAGACAGUUGAUUAAAAAUAUUUUCUAGUUAUUCUAAUACACGAGCUUCUUCAUGAUAGUAUCUAAUUAUUUCUUUCCUGUGUAUGGGCUAUGUUUUCUUAUUUCCUUAUAUGCCUCACAAAGUUUUGUUGAAAUUUGUAUAUUUUGAUUCUAAUAUGUUAACUCUGGAAAUUAGAUUCUCCCUCUUCCUUGGGUUUUGUUGUUACUCUCUCGUGGGUUAUUGUUUACGUAUUUAGUGACUUUUUAAACUAUUUUAGCAAAUUAUGUAUUCUUUGUCAUGUGUGGCCACUAAAGUCUGUGUUUUAUUAGCUUAUUAAUCAGCUGGUGUUUGGAUGCCCUUACUCUAAGUACCUAAAGCCAACAAAAGAAAAACGAUAAAUAAAAAAAUACUUUC